ACAUAGUUUAAAUUAAUGUUAAUUUGCAGUAUGCUCAUAUUGGCCUCAUCAAAUCAAGAAUCUGUCUCUGUCUCUCUCAUGACCUGUCACAACUAAGUAACAAGUAAAUUAGGAUCACCAAUCGUUUAGAUUAUAUCAGUUAUCAUGUCGGCUUGAGAUUUUGACAAGUUCCUUAAUGUUUCAAAUUCGACAAAAUCAUCUAACAAGCCUAUAUGAAACGAUCUUUUCUGAUGGGUACCGUGAGCUUAUUUGACUUGUUAACUUGCGUGCGGGGAACCAUUGUAUUCAACUUUAGCGUCACGCUUCUUCCUCUAUCCAGUCAUGCUCUCCUUGAUUAAUGAUCAAAGUUCAUCAUUAAUGCCUAUGAAGUUGUGGAAGGUGGAAUCACAUCAAGGAUUCGCAGCUACAUGGAUCCAACUGAACUGAUGGGUUUUGCAGCAAGAGGCUUGUUUAUGAAAUGCAGACCAAAGGAAAGUUCUGUUAGCAUUAGUGACAUAGGCCCACAGAGGGCUUGGGAACAGGUUUUGGAAGCUAAUUUGUUACAACAAUGGAAUACCUGCUAACAUAUACGGGUGGAAUAUGUACUACGCAAAGCUUAAGAACCUUUUAUAGCUAAACAAAAAGAAUAUGUUAUCUGUAAAUAAAAAAAUUUUGAUAUUCAAUGGUUCGGUUAAACAGCAUUUUUGGUCUAUGCAUUAUAGCUGAUGUUAGUC